rnacentral:rRNA from 1 species
UACGAAGGGGGCUAGCGUUGUUCGGAAUCACUGGGCGUAAAGCGCACGUAGGCGGAUUGUUAAGUCGGGGGUGAAAUCCUGAGGCUCAACCUCAGAACUGCCUUCGAUACUGGCGAUCUUGAGUUCGGAAGAGGUUGGUGGAACAGCUAGUGUAGAGGUGAAAAUUCGUAGAUAUUAGCUAGAACACCAGUGGCGAAGGCGGCCAACUGGUCCGAUACUGACGCUGAGGUGCGAAAGCGUGGGAGCAACAGGGAUUAAGAAACCCUGAGUAGUACCUA